GCCGUAGCGCGACGCGAUCAACGUACAGAUGUCUUUGGAUCAUCGAUCGGUGUACACGCGUACAAUCUGUGUGUACACACUUUCGCGUACACACGCGUUAUUCUCUCGUCUUCCGGCACGAUAACUCCAAUGUGAAAAAAGUACACGAUUUUUUUUUUUUUUUUUAUUAUUAUGAUUUCGAUCGUUGAUGACGACGAUCCGCACGUAUACAGUUGGUGAAAUUUACGAGUCGCGCGCGCGCGCACCGCAUCAACGUUCAGUCGAACGGAAUGAAACGAUCGUAUGAAUAGUACCUAACCCCUGAACAUUGUAACUGGUUCGCAUCAUAUUAUAUCGAGUAGGACAGGAAGAAUGGAAGGGAGAGAGAGAGUGAAAAAGUGAAAUCACUUAUUUACUAAAUCUACUCGGCUGUAAGACACAGCGGUGCCCCAAGUUGGUUUGUUGAACAUGAAGAUCUUUUUUUUUUUUAUAUAACAAACAAUGAAACGACUACGUCGGUUUUUUUGGGGGUUGGCUGUUUUGUAAUAUGCACACCGUGGUCAUCAUCGAACAUCGUACAACAUAAUAGCUGUUGUACAUAUCGCGUAUACCUGUGUUUAAUGAUUUUUUUCUUCGUUAUUUACGACCAUAAGCGCGUGUGUUACGUUGUCGAUGAUAUUAUAUGCUUUCAUGUUUCAUUUUUACAGAUGGCUGCAAGUAUACACGAAUGUCAUUUAUUCAGUAAAAAAAUCGAACAAAAAUUGUAUAUUUCUCUGACAACAAUUAACAAACCAUAUACUACGGAACAUUAUCCAAGAAAUUGGUAGCCAUUUGAACCGAUGGCCUAAAUAACGCGGGUAAAAAGUUCGGAAACGUACCGUGUUCGUUUGACCGUUAACGUUCACACGAUUGUUACGCGACGUAAUCGCUGUACGACGACGACGUUGCGGUGCGUACCGGACGACCGGAAGGGACGAAAGGGGUACCGAUAGUGACCUUGAGAUAAUGGCGAGGAGAAGUGAAGACGAGCGAGAGGCGGAGAGGUGAGCUUCUCUGGCGUACCGUUUACGUGCGCGCAAUAAGAAGGUGUAGCGAAAAAGACGGCAGCCUACGCCGCCGCGUUACCGCCGUGGUAACCGUCACGCGGCCGGCGCGUCGGUUUCACGCGGCAUGUGCGGUAAGCGCACGGCACACGGGCGAGAGCGCACAACUGGGCGGGCGCCGCG